UACGUAGGGGGCAAGCGUUGUCCGGAUUUAUUGGGCGUAAAAGGCUUGUAGGUGGCCACGCCAAGUCGGAUGUGAACUCUCCCGGCUCAACUGGGAGGGGUCAUUCGAUACUGGCGGGCUCGAGGCCGGUAGGGGGAAGUGGAAUUCCCGGUGUAGUGGUGGAAUGCGUAGAUAUCGGGAGGAACACCAGUGGCGAAGGCGGCUUCCUGGACCGGUUCUGACACUGAGGAGCGAAAGCGUGGGGAGCGAUCCGG
rnacentral:rRNA from 1 species